UACCUGGCAUCUCUGGCUCGAUCUUCGAAUCGGUUAAGGUAUUCGCGAAGUGAAAAACUAAUCCAGCGUCGAUGUAUCGAUAAUCGGCAUAGAUUGAUUAUUCACCAGUGAUUAUAGAACCAAAUUUGCCUGGAAGCCAACACAAGCAGAAUCUACCUCGACUGAACAUUCGGUUUAUCACUGGAGUGGACAUUGGUGGUAUGGAUGAGCCUUGUGAUACGUCUGUGAAUCUUCUGCUAUCUGAACGAUGCACUAUUUGUCACGAUUUGCUUGGUCGACAAAUCUGCGAAAAACUUGAUUUUUCAGCAUUGAGGCGUAAACAAGAGCAGAAUUCCUAAAUACGUUGGUGAAGCCAGUUGAAAAUUUUAGUGGAAGGCAAUCCAAUAUAAGUGAUAGGAACGCCCAUCAAGGAGGCACAAAUCUCCAAAUAACAUGGGAAACCUGCCAAGCGAGCCAAUAGCCAGUUUCAUGCUACUUGCAGGUUGCACAGUCAAGGUUAAACCUCAGCGCCUCAAUCAAUCAGAUAUAAAACUAAAUUAAUAAAAUACUUUACUAUACUGACAUGUAAACAACCUCAAUGCUUGUUAAUGAAAUGCUAGAAAAAUAAUCAAAAGCGGCUUUUGGAAUUCAUC